GAUGGACGCUGGCGGCGUGCUUAACACAUGCAAGUCGAACGGAAAGGCUCCUGCUUGCAGGGGUACUCGAGUGGCGAACGGGUGAGUAACACGUGGGUGAUCUGCCCUGCACUUCGGGAUAAGCCUGGGAAACUGGGUCUAAUACCGGAUAGGACGAUGGUUUGGAUGCCAUUGUGGAAAGUUUUUUCGGUGUGGGAUGAGCUCGCGGCCUAUCAGCUUGUUGGUGGGGUAAUGGCCUACCAAGGCGUCGACGGGUAGCCGGCCUGAGAGGGUGUACGGCCACAUUGGGCCUGGGAUACGGCCCGGACCCCUACGGGGGGAAGCGGUGGGGAAUAUUGCACAAUGGGCGAAGGCCUGAUGCGGCGCCGCCGGGUGGGGAAGGACGGCCUUCGGGUUGUAAACUCCUUUCGCUAGGGACGAGGCGCAAUGACGGGAACCUGAGGAAGAAGCACCGGUAACCUCCUU
rnacentral:rRNA from 1 species